rnacentral:lncRNA from 1 species
GGAGAUUAAUGAUCCGCUGGAGGGAAGAAAGAGGAACUUGGGGAAUGGAUCUGGGUGUAGUCAGAGCUCGCCUCUCCCUGGGAGCUGCCUUGGUGCUGUAAAGGAUCUCAUGUCUUUUGCCAGCUUUGAUGAAACUUGCUAGUUGGAAAGCAGAGUGAAAUCUCAGGCUCUACAACUCUUGACAUAAAGGACUGACAUCACAGGGCAACUAAGCAACUAGAAUUCCAAAGAAGGACAAGCCCCUCCAAAGACAGGAAGCAUGAGGGCAGGCUCAUCAGUGUCAGAGCAGGGGAGACCAGCACAGACACCUUACAAGCAGCUUGUAGGGGCUAUCCUGAAAUGCCCUUAAUCAUCGGACCUCUAAAAACUUUGCCAAAGUAGCAGGUCCCUGAAGAUUUUAGAGUGUAUCUCCUACGCUCUGAUGCAUAUAAAUCCUACCAGGAAUGACCUUCUGUGGCUACAGAGAAAGGCUUCAGGCAAAGAGAUGCAGCUCUGGGCCCCAGAGUCCGCUGGAGCACACUGAAGCUGGAGCACACUGAAGUGGAAGAUGGGGCUGCAGACAGAGACUGGGCAGCCUCUGCUCCAGGGAGGCCCGAGAGCCAGAGAGCAGAUUCCAUAAGAAGAAUAACUCCCAUUCCUCAUGCAUGAGACCCUCUGCUAAAUGCUUCCUGUGCACCACCUCCAGAAAUCCUCCCAAGCCAGGACACCAGCAGUAUUACAGGAACUGGAUGACAAAAAGAAGAGCCGAUAUAACCAGGAACCUACUCUGGCCACCCCAAGUAAGGAUCUAAAGUCCAGCCUCCUCCUCCACUGCCCUCAAGGCCUUUCCUCAUGAAAGCAGAGGUUCUGAAUGCUGAUUUCUGUUUUAAAGCCCAAUAACUCUU